CACGUAGGGCGCAAGCGUUGUCCGGAAUUAUUGGGCGUAAAGAGCUCGUAGGUGGUUUGUUACGUCUGCUGUGAAAACCUAGGGCUUAACCCUGGGCUUGCAGUGGAUACGGGCAGACUAGAGGUAGGUAGGGGAGAAUGGAAUUCCUGGUGUAGCGGUGAAAUGCGCAGAUAUCUGGAGGAACACCGGUGGCGAAGGCGCUGCUCUGGGCCGGUACUGACGCUGAGGAGCGAAAGCGUGGGUAGCAAACAGG
rnacentral:rRNA from 1 species